CGUUGAAACACCAGUUCUCUUACAAUCCUUGACGUUAAGCAAUGUCGAGCCUGGUCAAUACCAAGAUGAGCGACCGCUUGGGAAUACCAGGUGCCGUAAG